rnacentral:rRNA from 1 species
GACGAACGCUGGCGGCGUGCUUAACACAUGCAAGUCGAGCGGUAAGGCCCUUUCGGGGGUACACGAGCGGCGAACGGGUGAGUAACACGUGGGUGACCUGCCCUCAGCUCUGGGAUAAGCCUGGGAAACUGGGUCUAAUACCGGAUAUGACUCCAUGACGCAUGUUGUGGGGUGGAAAGCCUUGUGCGGCUGAGGAUGGGCCCGCGGCCUAUCAGCUUGUUGGUGGGGUGAUGGCCUACCAAGGCGACGACGGGUAGCCGGCCUGAGAGGGCGACCGGCCACACUGGGACUGAGACACGGCCCAGACUCCUACGGGAGGCAGCAGUGGGGAAUCUUGCGCAAUGGGCGAAAGCCUGACGCAGCCAUGCCGCGUGAGUGAAGAAGGUCUUAGGAUUGUAAACCCCUUUCGGGAGGGAAGAUGGAACGAGCAAUCGUUCGACGGUACCUCCAGAAGCAGCCACGGCUAACUUCGUGCCA